ACGAAGGGGGCUAGCGUUGUUCGGAAUUACUGGGCGUAAAGCGCACGUAGGCGGAUCUUUAAGUCAGGUGUGAAAUCCCAAGGCUCAACCUUGGAACUGCAUUUGAAACUGGGGAUCUAGAGAUCAGGAGAGGUUAGUGGAAUACCGAGUGUAGAGGUGAAAUUCGUAGAUAUUCGGUGGAACACCAGUGGCGAAGGCGACUAACUGGACUGAUACUGACGCUGAGGUGCGAAAGUGUGGGGAGCAAACAGG
rnacentral:rRNA from 1 species